GACGAACGCUGGCGGCGUGCUUAACACAUGCAAGUCGAACGGGCCUUGUCCCCUUUUUUUUUGGGGGUGGGGUUAGUGGCGAACGGGUGAGUAACACGUGAGUAACCUGCCCCUCACUUCUGGAUAACCGCUUGAAAGGGUGGCUAAUACGGGGUGUUCUGGCCUGCUCGCAUGGGUGGGUUUGGAAAGAUUCGACCGGUUUUGGUUGUUUUGGUGGGGGAUGGGCUCGCGGCCUAUCAGCUUGUUGGUGGGGUGAUGGCCUGCCAAGGCUUUGACGGGUAGCCGGCCUGAGAGGGUGGGCGGUCACACUGGGACUGAGACACGGCCCAGACUCCUACGGGAGGCAGCAGUGGGGAAUAUUGCACAAUGGGCGCAAUCCUGAUGCAGCGACGCCGCGUGAGGGAUGGAGGCCUUCGGGUUGUGAACCUCUUUCGCCAGUGAAGAAGGUCCUGCUCUUUGUGGUGGGGUUGACGGUAGCUGGGUUAAUGAAGCGCCGGCUAACUACGUG
rnacentral:rRNA from 1 species